CAGGUAAGUCCAUUAUUAUCAUUGCUUGCAUUCAUUUGGGAAAUGCAUUUGCAUGUCUUAAAUUUACAAUUAACAAAGGCUACAGUGAUAUGAAACGUGAAUGAAACUGAAAUUUAAUUUGUUGGAGGAGGAUCUGCACCAAAGCCGUUGUCCCCGGUCGCAUCGGUGGUGUACGCCGUCCUAGGCUCGGACGCAAGCAUUACUGGCCUUCAGGGUGCAGCUGAUCCUGCAGUCGAGUUGCUAAAGGAGAUUGAGGGGAGAAAUGAAGAUGAAAGUCCAGCUGCAGCAUCACAUCACACAGCUCUUCCUCUUCUCCCCCUCCUAGCCCUUCCUCUGCCAGCUCUUCCUCUUCCAGCAGCACCUCCUCUCACAGCUCUUCCUCUCCCAGCUGCACCUCCUCUCACAGCUCUUCCUCUUCCACCCCUUUCUCUUCCAACUCUCCCUCUUGGUGCACCCACUGGCUCUCCUCUCCCUCCUGCUGCUGGUACCAGUUCACUGUACGAGAAGAAAUUGAGGAUGGAAAUGAGGGUUUUAAAAAGGCAAAGAAAGGUCCUCAAAGCGAAAGAGUGGCUAAUAAAAAUGAAGACAGAAUAUUACAGUCUUAAGAUCGAAAAGUUGAAAAAUUGAAAAAAUAAAUGUUAUGAACUACA